rnacentral:rRNA from 1 species
GAUGAACGCUAGCUACAGGCUUAACACAUGCAAGUCGAGGGGAAACGGCAUUGAGUGCUUGCACUCUUUGGACGUCGACCGGCGCACGGGUGAGUAACGCGUAUCCAACCUUCCCAUUACUGUGGGAUAACCUGCCGAAAGGCAGACUAAUACCGCAUAGUCUUCGAUGACGGCAUCAGAUUUGAAGUAAAGAUUUAUCGGUAAUGGAUGGGGAUGCGUCUGAUUAGCUUGUUGGCGGGGUAACGGCCCACCAAGGCGACGAUCAGUAGGGGUUCUGAGAGGAAGGUCCCCCACAUUGGAACUGAGACACGGUCCAAACUCCUACGGGAGGCAGCAGUGAGGAAUAUUGGUCAAUGGACGGAAGUCUGAACCAGCCAAGUAGCGUGCAGGAUGACGGCCCUAUGGGUUGUAAACUGCUUUUGUAUGGGGAUAAAGUUAGGGACGUGUCCCUAUUUGCAGGUACCAUACGAAUAAGGACCGGCUAAUUCCGUGCCAGCAGCCGCGGUAAUACGGAAGGUCCAGGCGUUAUCCGGAUUUAUUGGGUUUAAAGGGAGCGUAGGCUGGAGAUUAAGUGUGUUGUGAAAUGUAGACGCUCAACGUCUGAAUUGCAGCGCAUACUGGUUUCCUUGAGUACGCACAACGUUGGCGGAAUUCGUCGUGUAGCGGUGAAAUGCUUAGAUAUGACGAAGAACUCCGAUUGCGAAGGCAGCUGACGGGAGCGCACUGACGCUUAAGCUCGAAGGUGCGGGUAUCAAACAGG